rnacentral:rRNA from 1 species
UACGGAGGGGGCUAGCGUUGUUCGGAAUUACUGGGCGUAAAGCGCACGUAGGCGGCUUUGUAAGUUAGAGGUGAAAGCCCAGGGCUUAACCCUGGAAUUGCCUUUAAGACUGCAUCGCUAGAAUCGUGGAGAGGUGAGUGGAAUUCCGAGUGUAGAGGUGAAAUUCGUAGAUAUUCGGAAGAACACCAGUGGCGAAGGCGACUCACUGGACCCGGAUUGACGCUGAGGUGCGAAAGCGUGGGGAGCAAACAGG